UACAGAGGUCCCAAGCGUUGUUCGGAUUCACUGGGCGUAAAGGGUGCGUAGGCGGUCGGGUAAGUCUGACGUGAAAUCUUCAAGCUCAACUUGGAAACUGCGUCGGAUACUAUUCGGCUGGAGGAAUGGAGGGGAGACUGGAAUACUUGGUGUAGCAGUGAAAUGCGUAGAUAUCAAGUGGAACACCAGUGGCGAAGGCGAGCCUCUGGACAUUUCCUGACGCUGAGGCACGAAAGCCAGGGGAGCAAACGGG
rnacentral:rRNA from 1 species